CCAAAGGCUCUUUUCAGAGCCACCACAUGUACGCUGAAAAGGACUGU
rfam:Felis catus isolate Cinnamon breed Abyssinian chromosome B2, whole genome shotgun sequence.